GCUUGGAUAGCUCACUUGGUUACAACGUGGUGCAGAUAAUGCCAAGGUUGCAGGUUCGAUCCCUGUAUGGGACA